UGCUCGCUUCAGCAGGCUGAAUACUAAAAUUGGAAUGAUACAGAGAAGAUUAGCAUGGCCCCUAUGCAAGGAUGACAUACAAGUUCGUGAAGGGUUCCAUAUUUUA
ensembl:snRNA U6 U6 spliceosomal RNA